rnacentral:rRNA from 1 species
AGUGAACGCUGGCGGUAGGCCUAACACAUGCAAGUCGAACGGCAGCACAGUAAGAGCUUGCUCUUACGGGUGGCGAGUGGCGGACGGGUGUGGAAUACAUCGGAAUCUACUUUUUCGUGGGGGAUAACGUAGGGAAACUUACGCUAAUACCGCAUACUACCUACGGGUGAAAGCAGGUGAUCUUCGGACCUUGCCCGAUUGAAUGAGCCGGUGUCGGAUUAGCUAGUUGGCGGGGUAAAGGCCCACCAAGGCGACGAUCCGUAGCUGGUCGGAGAGGAUGAUCAGCAAGACAGGAACUGAGAAAGAGUGCAGAAGACUACGGGAGGCAGCAAUGGGGAAUAUUGGAAAAUGGGCGGAAGUCUGAUCCAGCAAUACCGCGUGGGUGAAGAAGGACUUCGGGUUGUAAAGCACUUUUGUUGAGAAAGAAAAGCAGCAGGAUAAUACCCCGCUGUUCUGACGGUACCCAAAGAAUAAGCACCGGCUAACUUCGUG